GACAGAGGAUGCAAGCGUUAUCCGGACUGAUUGGGCGUAAAGCGCACGUAGGCAGCUUUGUAAGUUAGAGGUGAAAGCCCAGGGCUUAACCCUGGAAUUGCCUUUAAGACUGCAUCGCUAGAAUCGUGGAGAGGUGAGUGGAAUUCCGAGUGUAGAGGUGAAAUUCGUAGAUAUUCGGAAGAACACCAGUGGCGAAGGCGGCUCUCUGGACCGAGACUGACGCUGAGGCGCGAAAGCGUGGGGAGCAAACAGG
rnacentral:rRNA from 1 species